UACGGAGGAUCCAAGCGUUAUCCGGAUUUAUUGGGUUUAAAGAGCGUGUAGGCGGCUUGUUAAGUCUUGCGUGAAAUCUCGGGGCUCAACCCCGAGCGGCUCGUGAGAAACUGGCAGGCUAGAGUGCGGGAGAGGAGAGUGGAAUUCCUGGUGUAGCGGUGAAAUGCGCAGAUAUCAGGAAGAACACCCGUGGCGAAGGCGGCUCUCUGGAACGCAACUGACGCUGAGACGCGAAAGCGUGGGGAGCAAACAGG
rnacentral:rRNA from 1 species